rnacentral:misc_RNA from 1 species
GAUGAAGAACGUAGCGAAAUGCGAUAAGUAGUGUGAAUUGCAGAAUUCAGUGAAUCAUCGAAUCUUUGAACGCACAUUGCGCCCUUUGGUAUUCUUUAGGGCAUGCCUGUUCGAGCGUCAUUUAAACCUUCAAGCUAAGCUUGGUGUUGGGUGACUGUCCGCUUCACGGCGGACUCGCCUCAAAAUUAUUGGCGGCCGGUACAUUGGCUUCGAGCGCAGCAGAAACGCGAACUCGGGCCCGUCGUAUUGGCUCCCAGAAGCUAUCUUCACAAUUUUGACCUCGGAUCAGGUAGGGAUACCCGCUGAACUUAAGCAUAUCAAUAAGCGGAGGA